rnacentral:rRNA from 1 species
GUACCUGCAGAAAAAGCACCGGCUAACUACGUGCCCAGCAGCCGCGGUAAUACGUAGGGUGCAAGCGUUAUCCGGAAUUAUUGGGCGUAAAGAGCUCGUAGGCGGUCUGUCGCGUCUGCUGUGAAAUUCCGAGGCUCAACCUCGGGCUUGCAGUGGGUACGGGCAGACUAGAGUGCGGUAGGGGAGAUUGGAAUUCCUGGUGUAGCGGUGGAAUGCGCAGAUAUCAGGAGGAACACCGAUGGCGAAGGCAGAUCUCUGGGCCGUAACUGACGCUGAGGAGCGAAAGGGUGGGGAGCAAACAGGCUUAGAUACCCUGGUAGUCCACCCCGUAAACGUUGGGAACUAGUUGUGGGGUCCUUUCCACGGAUUCCGUGACGCAGCUAACGCAUUAAGUUCCCCGCCUGGGGAGUACGGCCGCAAGGCUAAAACUCAAAGGAAUUGACGGGGACCCGCACAAGCGGCGGAGCAUGCGGAUUAAUUCGAUGCAACGCGAAGAACCUUACCAAGGCUUGACAUACACGAGAACGGGCCAGAAAUGGUCAACUCUUUGGACACUCGUGAACAGGUGGUGCAUGGUUGUCGUCAGCUCGUGUCGUGAGAUGUUGGGUUAAGUCCCGCAACGAGCGCAACCCUCGUUCUAUGUUGCCAGCACGUAAUGGUGGGAACUCAUGGGAUACUGCCGGGGUCAACUCGGAGGAAGGUGGGGAUGACGUCAAAUCAUCAUGCCCCUUAUGUCUUGGGCUUCACGCAUGCUACAAUGGCCGGUACAAUGGGCUGCGAUACCGUAAGGUGGAGCGAAUCCCAAAAAGCCGGUCCCAGUUCGGAUUGAGGUCUGCAACUCGACCUCAUGAAGUCGGAGUCGCUAGUAAUCGCAGAUCAGCAACGCUGCGGUGAAUACGUUCCCGGGUCUUGUACACACCGCCCGUCAAGUCAUGAAAGUCGGUAACACCUGAAGCCGGUGGCCUAACCCCGUGAGGAGGUAGAAGCAAAGGUAGGAGUUGCCC